GACGUAGGGCGCGAGCGUUGUCCGGAUUUAUUGGGCGUAAAGAGCUCGUAGGCGGCUUGUCGCGUCGACUGUGAAAACCCGCGGCUCAACUGCGGGCCUGCAGCCGAUACGGGGCAGGCUAGAGUUCGGUAGGGGGAGACUGGAAUUCCUGGUGUAGCGGUGAAAUGCGCAGAUAUCAGGAGGAACACCGAUGGCGAAGGCAGAUCUCUGGGCCGUAACUGACGCUGAGGAGCGAAAGCGUGGGGGAGCGAACAGG
rnacentral:rRNA from 1 species